UGGUCCUCACUGUAUGAGCUGUGCCUUGUAAGCGCACACCACCAGCUUGGCCUGAAAAACAUUCCCGCGAAUGUCAGAACAUACGUCAAGUUAUCUGAGGACAGCACGCAAUACAUAAAGUUUCCAAGAGAUGAAAACACACCCCUGUGCACAGGAAAGCUGUUGUCUGAUAGUGAUGCUGCGGGAACAACUUGUUAUGUACAGUUGACAGUGAAGAUUAUUUCUGCCUAAAAAGUUUUAGUGUGAUUGCAGCCAAAAUACAGAAAUUGUGGCAAUGAUGAAACAUAGGUAGAAGUUUCAUAAGAAAUACAAAUGUUCAGCCUUCCUUACUUCAACUCAAUUUGAAAGUUUUUGUCCCUUUUGUACCUUGAUGUCAUUCCUGUUACCCACAAUAAAAGUUAGUUAUGAAGAAACA